AAUAAACGGGAUGAGUAGACCCUGUUAUUAAAAUCGUGAUGAAUGACGUAUUUUCCUAUUUGUAAACAUCCAAUUGUAUUAGCGUCUCGUGAUCGAGGGGACAACGUGUGUGAUGAAUACCUCUUUUCGUAAAUAAAUAUAAUGUAUUAGAGUUGAAGCAGUUGUAUGAAGCAAUAGUGGCAUUGUGAAGUUUCUGUAUAUUACACAUAAAUUUAUAUAGUGUUUUAAACAGAACAAAGAAGAAUCAUCUUAAUUAAAUUAUUCUUCAUGAUAUUUGCAUUCAACGAGUAUCGUGCUAUAAUUAAUCAUAGCAUGACUAACAGACUGCUAUAAGCAUAUGAGAUAUGUCUGACUAAUAUCAGACAAUCUGAAGAUAACGCGUAUCAAAAGGUUCCCUGUGAAUUUAUUAUUGUGUUUUCUGAAAUGACCACACAGGCAAUAAUAGCUUGACAUUUCUGCAU